rnacentral:rRNA from 1 species
GGGGGGGUGCUUACCAUGCAGUCGAACGCUGAAGCCUGGUGCUUGCACCGGGUGGAUGAGUGGCGAACGGGUGAGUAAUACGUGAGUGACCUGCCUUUGACUCUGGGAUAAGCCUGGGAAACUGGGUCUAAUACCGGAUGCGACUACUGCCCGCAUGGGCUGGUGGUGGAAAGGGUUAUGUACUGGUCUUAGAUGGGCUCACGGCCUAUCAGCUGGUUGGUGGGGUAAUGGCCUACCAAGGCGACGACGGGUAGCCGGCCUGAGAGGGUGACCGGCCACACUGGGACUGAGACACGGCCCAGACUCCUACGGGAGGCAGCAGUGGGGAAUAUUGCACAAUGGGCGCAAGCCUGAUGCAGCGACGCCGCGUGAGGGAUGACGGCCUUCGGGUUGUAAACCUCUUUCAGCAGGGAAGAAGCGGAAGUGACGGUACCUGCAGAAGAAGCGCCGGCUAACUACGUGCCAGCAGCCGCGGUAAUACGUAGGGCGCAAGCGUUGUCCGGAAUUAUUGGGCGUAAAGAGCUCGUAGGCGGCUUGUCGCGUCUGCUGUGAAAGCCCGGGGCUUAACUCCGGGUGUGCAGUGGGUACGGGCAGGCUAGAGUGCAGUAGGGGUAACUGGAAUUCCUGGUGUAGCGGUGAAAUGCGCAGAUAUCAGGAGGAACACCGAUGGCGAAGGCAGGUUACUGGGCUGUUACUGACGCUGAGGAGCGAAAGCAUGGGGAGCGAACAGGAUUAGAUACCCUGGUAGUCCAUGCCGUAAACGUUGGGCACUAGGUGUGGGGGACAUUCCACGUUUUCCGCGCCGUAGCUAACGCAUUAAGUGCCCCGCCUGGGGAGUACGGCCGCAAGGCUAAAACUCAAAGGAAUUGACGGGGGCCCGCACAAGCGGCGGAGCAUGCGGAUUAAUUCGAUGCACGCGAAGAACCUUACCAGGCUUGACU